UGCCUAGGGUUGCCGACCCCUGAUCUAGAAGAACUACAGGACUUUCCCAGUCAUCUGCACGUCUUUGGUCUUGUCUCCCUCUCCUCCCUCCUCCACCCCUAACUGCUCACAGCAGAUGGCCGCCCCUCCCUGAACCUGGUCCUGCCAGAGUCCCUCACCUUCUCCAACAAAUGGACUUGCAUUGCAUUUUCCGACCAAGCAUGACAAAGGACUUCUCAGUGCCUCCUAUUCACACACUCACACAUGCUGAUAGGGCCAGCGCAGAGCAAUUUACGUUUCAGUGUUUUUGCUCACGGACACUUUGAUGUGCAGUCAGCAGGAGCUUGGGAUCGAACCACCAACUGCCAACCCAGUCCCUACCUUUCAUACCUUUAGGAAGCCAGACGGCGUAUUUGAGAACAUCUGUGCUAAAGGAUUCCAAUAACAACAACUACAACAACAACAGGGAAAUGCUCUAGCAUUUAUGUGUUUUUCUAGACACAAUCUUGGCUGCAUUUAAAGUAAAAAUUUUUCACUCAUCCUAUUCGGC
ensembl:lncRNA